UACGAAGGGGGCUAGCGUUGCUCGGAAUCACUGGGCGUAAAGCGCACGUAGGCGGCUUUUUAAGUCAGGGGUGAAAUCCUGGAGCUCAACUCCAGAACUGCCUUUGAUACUGAGAGCUUGAGUUCGGGAGAGGUGAGUGGAACUGCGAGUGUAGAGGUGAAAUUCGUAGAUAUUCGCAAGAACACCAGUGGCGAAGGCGGCUCACUGGCCCGAUACUGACGCUGAGGCACGAAAAGCGUGGGGAGCAAACAGG
rnacentral:rRNA from 1 species